GAUGAACGCUGGCGGCGUGCCUAAUACAUGCAAGUCGAGCGAACAGACGAGGAGCUUGCUCCUCUGACGUUAGCGGCGGACGGGUGAGUAACACGUGGAUAACCUACCUAUAAGACUGGGAUAACUUCGGGAAACCGGAGCUAAUACCGGAUAAUAUAUUGAACCGCAUGGUUCAAUAGUUAAAGACGGUUUUGCUUUCACUUAUAGAUGGAUCCGCGCCGCAUUAGCUAGUUGGUAAGGUAACGGCUUACCAAGGCGACGAUGCGUAGCCGACCUGAGAGGGUGAUUGGCCACACUGGAACUGAGACACGGUCCAGACUCCUACGGGAGGCAGCAGUAGGGAAUCUUCCGCAAUGGGCGAAAGCCUGACGGAGCAACGCCGCGUGAGUGAUGAAGGUCUUCGGAUCGUAAAACUCUGUUAUUAGGGAAGAACAAAUGUGUAAGUAACUAUGCACGUCUUGACGGUACCUAAUCAGAAAGCCACGGCUAACUACGUG
rnacentral:rRNA from 1 species